CACCCAACAGCUAGCCACACACACCAAAAACAACUAAACCACAGAGAUACCCCCUAAAACACCCCCACCCCAACAACAAAGCAUUUUCCCACCUUAGUAUGGGCGACAGAAAAG
rnacentral:rRNA from 1 species